AAUCCAUAGGUUAAUGAGGCGAACCGGGGGAACUGAAACAUCUAAGUACCCCGAGGAAAAGAAAUCAACCGAGAUUCCCCCAGUAGCGGCGAGCGAACGGGGAGGAGCCCAGAGCCUGAAUCAGCAUGUGUGUUAGUGGAAGCGUCUGGAAAGGCGCGCGAUACAGGGUGACAGCCCCGUACACAAAAGCGCAUGUGCUGUGAGCUCGAUGAGUAGGGCGGGACACGUGGUAUCCUGUCUGAAUAUGGGGGGACCAUCCUCCAAGGCUAAAUACUCCUGACUGACCGAUAGUGAACCAGUACCGUGAGGGAAAGGCGAAAAGAACCCCGGCGAGGGGAGUGAAAAAGAACCUGAAACCGUGUACGUACAAGCAGUGGGAGCACCCUUUGGGUGUGACUGCGUACCUUUUGUAUAAUGGGUCAGCGACUUAUAUUCUGUAGCAAGGUUAACCGAAUAGGGGAGCCGGAGGGAAACCGAGUCUUAAUUGGGCGUUAAGUUGCAGGGUAUAGACCCGAAACCCGGUGAUCUAGCCAUGGGCAGGUUGAAGGUUGGGUAACACUAACUGGAGGACCGAACCGACUAAUGUUGAAAAAUUAGCGGAUGACCUGUGGCUGGGGGUGAAAGGCCAAUCAAACCGGGAGAUAGCUGGUUCUCCCCGAAAGCUAUUUAGGUAGCGCCUCGUGAAUUCAUCUCCGGGGGUAGAGCACUGUUUCGGCUAGGGGGCCAUCCCGGCUUACCAACCCGAUGCAAACUGCGAAUACCGGAGAAUGUUAUCACGGGAGACACACGGCGGGUGCUAACGUCCGUCGUGAAGAGGGAAACAACCCAGACCGCCAGCUAAGGUCCCAAAGUCAUGGUUAAGUGGGAAACGAUGUGGGAAGGCCCAGACAGCCAGGAUGUUGGCUUAGAAGCAGCCAUCAUUUAAAGAAAGCGUAAUAGCUCACUGGUCGAGUCGGCCUGCGCGGAAGAUGUAACGGGGCUAAACCAUGCACCGAAGCUGCGGCAGCGACGCUUAUGCGUUGUUGGGUAGGGGAGCGUUCUGUAAGCCUGCGAAGGUGGCCUGUGAGGGUUGCUGGAGGUAUCAGAAGUGCGAAUGCUGACAUAAGUAACGAUAAAGCGGGUGAAAAGCCCGCUCGCCGGAAGACCAAGGGUUCCUGUCCAACGUUAAUCGGGGCAGGGUGAGUCGACCCCUAAGGCGAGGCCGAAAGGCGUAGUCGAUGGGAAACGGGUUAAUAUUCCCGUACUUGGUGUUACUGCGAAGGGGGGACGGAGAAGGCUAUGUUGGCCGGGCGACGGUUGUCCCGGUUUAAGCGUGUAGGUGUGUGUUCCAGGUAAAUCCGGUUCACUUUAACACUGAGGCGUGACGACGAGGCACUACGGUGCUGAAGCAACAAAUGCCCUGCUUCCAGGAAAAGCCUCUAAGCAUCAGGUAACAUCAAAUCGUACCCCAAACCGACACAGGUGGUCAGGUAGAGAAUACCAAGGCGCUUGAGAGAACUCGGGUGAAGGAACUAGGCAAAAUGGUGCCGUAACUUCGGGAGAAGGCACGCUGACACGUAGGUGAAGUGAUUUACUCAUGGAGCUGAAGUCAGUCGAAGAUACCAGCUGGCUGCAACUGUUUAUUAAAAACACAGCACUGUGCAAACACGAAAGUGGACGUAUACGGUGUGACGCCUGCCCGGUGCCGGAAGGUUAAUUGAUGGGGUCAGCGCAAGCGAAGCUCCUGAUCGAAGCCCCGGUAAACGGCGGCCGUAACUAUAACGGUCCUAAGGUAGCGAAAUUCCUUGUCGGGUAAGUUCCGACCUGCACGAAUGGCGUAAUGAUGGCCAGGCUGUCUCCACCCGAGACUCAGUGAAAUUGAACUCGCUGUGAAGAUGCAGUGUACCCGCGGCAAGACGGAAAGACCCCGUGAACCUUUACUAUAGCUUGACACUGAACAUUGAGCCUUGAUGUGUAGGAUAGGUGGGAGGCUUUGAAGUGUGGACGCCAGUCUGCAUGGAGCCGACCUUGAAAUACCACCCUUUAAUGUUUGAUGUUCUAACGUGGACCCGUUACCCGGGUUGCGGACAGUGUCUGGUGGGUAGUUUGACUGGGGCGGUCUCCUCCUAAAGAGUAACGGAGGAGCACGAAGGUUGGCUAAUCCUGGUCGGACAUCAGGAGGUUAGUGCAAUGGCAUAAGCCAGCUUGACUGCGAGCGUGACGGCGCGAGCAGGUGCGAAAGCAGGUCAUAGUGAUCCGGUGGUUCUGAAUGGAAGGGCCAUCGCUCAACGGAUAAAAGGUACUCCGGGGAUAACAGGCUGAUACCGCCCAAGAGUUCAUAUCGACGGCGGUGUUUGGCACCUCGAUGUCGGCUCAUCACAUCCUGGGGCUGAAGUAGGUCCCAAGGGUAUGGCUGUUCGCCAUUUAAAGUGGUACGCGAGCUGGGUUUAGAACGUCGUGAGACAGUUCGGUCCCUAUCUGCCGUGGGCGCUGGAGAACUGAGGGGGGCUGCUCCUAGUACGAGAGGACCGGAGUGGACGCAUCACUGGUGUUCGGGUUGUCAUGCCAAUGGCACUGCCCGGUAGCUAAAUGCGGAAGAGAUAAGUGCUGAAAGCAUCUAAGCACGAAACUUGCCCCGAG
rnacentral:rRNA from 2 species